UAUUAUAUCAAAAGUGCCGUAGACAGCAGGUGACAUUAUGUCGUAACGGUUUUUCUACCUGCCGAGGAUACAUUGAUUUUGUAUUUACCUCCCUGUCUAUAGACAGGGAUUUUUUUAUA
rnacentral:sRNA from 1 species